rnacentral:lncRNA from 1 species
AAAAGUACGACCCAGUACAAUACCACUCAGUGGUGUCUGGGGAGGGUAGUGUGUACGCAGCCUUACCCCUACCCUGGGGUAGAGAGGCUGUUUCCAAAUAGACCCCGGCAUAAAUCCCCAGAAUUUGCUCUUGGGGAGACUCGAACUCACAACCUCUCGGUUGUAAGUGAGGGUUGGUUACCAUCAGACCAAGCCCCUCUUGUC